UGGUGCACGGGGUCACCCUGGCUAAGAUGUGUCCUCACCUGCCGAGCACUGCUGCCCUUACCUUCUGAACUUCAGUCAGGUAUGAUCAGGGCCAGAUGGGAAUGAGGGUGGUUGAGGCCCUGGUCCUGCUUCAGGGAGAGGAGGAGAGGGCCAUUCCUUGGAGAAAAUUUCCAGUCAUCUCUCCCCAAGACCUCAGGCCUGUCUGGGGAGGCCAGGAAGUACCCAGGACUUCCGCCUCCCAGCUUCCCACCUUCUCACAGGGCUGAUGAGCCUUGGGGCCAGAGCUGCCGGCAGUCAGUGAGGGCUGGCAACUCCCCGAGGUGGUCAAGAGAGCCCCCAGUGUGUCAGGCCCCAGACAGAGGCACUAGAGCUUGCAUUCUAGGCCCAUCAGGUGUCCAAGCCACCAGGAAAGCAACCAGAUACCCCUGCAAGAGCUGGCAUUGAGGGUUAGCGCAGCCUUUUCACUAAGGAUUUGCUGAAUGCUCCUCUCAGUGCCCUGUGAGGCCUGGGUGUGCCCUAGGCAGUCAGACUGUCCUGGCCCAGCGCGAUGGCUCACGCCUGUCAUCCCAGCACUUUGGGAGGCCAAGGCAGGCAGGUCACUUGAGCCCAGGAGUUUGAGACCAGCCUGGGCAACAUGGUGAAACCCCGUCUCUACAAAAAAAAAAAAAAUGCAAAAAUUAGCCAGGUGUUGUGGUGCAUGCCUGUGGUUCCAGCUACUCGGGGUAGAGGUAGGAGGAUCGCUUGAGUCCUUGAGGCGGAGGUCGCAGUGAGCCAAGAUGGCAUCACUGCACUGCAGCCUGGCCCACAGAGCGAGACCCUGUCUGAACAACAAAAGACUGUCCUUGUUCAGAGUUGUACAAGGGCUGAGAACAGAUGUGGACACCGCAAUGUGACAAAUACGGGAAGCGAGAGAAGGCAGCCUGGAGUGGACUGAAAGUAGGGGAGCGUGCUGUUGGGAAAGACAGCCUCAGCCUUUCUGCCCCCUCUGAAAGGCCACAUGAGAAUGGGCCUGGAACAUUCCUCACAAAGAGCUAAAGUGUUCUCAAGCCUGUGGUGGACUUGUCACUUUGCAUGGGCGCGUCUUUCCUGUUUAGACUUGAUGUAUAUUCCUUUAGUCUGCUUAAGUGUGCAUCACAUGGCACCUGGCCAAGCCCACCACUAUAUCUGUUCCCACUGGGGAGGGGCAAGGUCCUUCUGCUGCAGCACAGAGAGGUGUGUGCAGGCCCAUGGCCCUGGGUUACCGCUGGGAGGGACCUGCUGGCCAUGGGGACCAACACCCACCACUGAAGCUGUGUUCGCUGCUCUUUUCUAGUAUGAGUAAAGUGGAGUAGCCCGGGCUUGACUGUGCUGUUGCCCCUGGCAACUCCAGUUACGAGACUCAGUGAGCAGAAGUGCUAGGAUUUCUGCUCCUGAUAAUAGGCAACAGAUGCCACUUGCGCACAGGAACCAGCCCCCUCUCCCUGUUCCCAGCUCCCUGCACUGCCCUCUUCUCAGGACCCCUGAGCAGCAUAGCCUUAAGUACCCCCCAAUCCCGAUUUCCCAGUGGGUGUCUCUUAGGACCCCAGAAAAACGCUUCCUUACCUAUUGCCUCCAUGUUACUCUCCUAUAAAAUGGGGCAAACUAUUGCCCCAACUAUUAAUGAUCAUUACUUCGGGGAAGUAGGAUUGAGAUUGACUUUUCACUUAAUUUCUUGAUUUCUUUAUUUUACUUUAGAUUGUUGAUUGCAGUAAGCCGGCAUGAUUUUGGUGGUUAAAAGAUCUAAAGAUUUUUCCCACUGCUCCCACUCGUGGGGCAUGCUAGAAAACAAAUGCACCCUCCCUCAUCUCCUGCAUCCUUCUUUCAUCCCCCUGUCUGUGCGUGUCCCCUGCAACUGUUACUAAGCAACGCUCUCCAAAGAAACACCGAGAGUCAGCCUCAGCCCAAGGGGCUGGCUGCGCUUUCCUUCACUGUUUCAAGCAGGAGAGCUAGUCCUUUCUGCACAUCUGAGCAAAAUACUUGUAAAGCCUUGACUUGUAUUCACUUUUACCAAUAAACUAGAUGGAA
rnacentral:lncRNA from 1 species